GAAAAGUUUAAUUGGAGUGUGCUUUGUUUUUAAAAAUUCAAAAUCCGUUUUUUGUUCUUUUAAAAAAAUCGUACCCAAAUAAAAUUGCUUCUGCAGUUUUCUGAGUGACUGCUCCAGCUUCGAGUUCCCUCGAAGUGUGAUUUCUGCAAGUCGACCAGUUCCGGUGAUUCCGAGAUGUAGUGAGUGCGAUGGACGGAAGAGAAUAGGUCAUUAAGAAAUCCACUAUAGCCGUCAUAUAAAGAAACGCAAUUAUCCAGAUGUGCGGCGAUGAACUCAAAGCAAGCAACUUAGAAUUUCUGGGUCCUGUUACAACUGGGAAUCAGCUAUCCAUAUCAAACGAGAGCUUUCUCCUGGUAAGACGUGUUGAUGAUUUUCCAGCAAACUCUAAGCCACCUCCGUAGGACUGAGGAAUUUUGAAGCGGAGUGGUACGCAGUACGUGCUACCACGCGGAAGUUCCGGGGCCGAGUUCUGACCGGUGACCAUUAAGAAUUAUUGCGAAUUGAUUUAAAUAAAAAAAUUAAGUUAUUGCCACUCGGCAGGGAAUGUGAACGCACGAUUUGGAGGAGAAACUCGACCGAAAAUUGUUUCAGCGGUUAAUAAGCGCCAAUAAAUAUGCCAUUUUGACAUUUCCUUGUCUAGUUUGCACAUAUGUCUAUAUGUCUGUAUACAAACCUGUAUUAAUCAUAAGUAUUUUUUAACGACCACAACGAUUAUUGGGGCUAUUGUAUCCACCAAUUAACGAUGUUCGCAGACAACAACACCGACAAUCAGCAGACAUGCAUAAUUGUCCCCCAACAAAUGUGACAUUUGCGAAUUUAUCACUAACGAAUUCAAUUGAGAAGAAAUCAGUUAUUACUGCGCCAUUAUUAGUUUUCAUCGGCAGUGCUACAAUUCUGGGCUCUGGUAGGCUGAUGUCAGGGAUGUACGCGUAUGUACCAGUGUGUACGGCGAAUUUACACGUUAUAACUCGCAAUGAAGGGAUGGUUGACUUUCCGCAACUCCGACGCAUUGCAUACAUGUUGAUAUACUUAUGUAUGUACAUAUGUAUUGUAUGCUCAUACUUUGUACAUGAAUAUGUGAUUAUUAAAUGACACUUUAUGUGCGUAGUUGUUGGUUGUUGGAAAGA